GACGAACGCUGGCGGCGUGCUUAACACAUGCAAGUCGAACGGAAAGGCCCUGCUUUUGUGGGGUGCUCGAGUGGCGAACGGGUGAGUAACACGUGAGUAACCUGCCCUUGACUUUGGGAUAACUUCAGGAGACUGGGGCUAAUACCGGAUAGGAGCUCCUGCUGCAUGGUGGGGGUUGGAAAGUUUCGGCGGUUGGGGAUGGACUCGCGGCUUAUCAGCUUGUUGGUGGGGUAGUGGCUUACCAAGGCUUUGACGGGUAGCCGGCCUGAGAGGGUGACCGGCCACACUGGGACUGAGAUACGGCCCAGACUCCUACGGGAGGCAGCAGUGGGGAAUAUUGCACAAUGGGCGGAAGCCUGAUGCAGCAACGCCGCGUGCGGGAUGACGGCCUUCGGGUUGUAAACCGCUUUCGCCUGUGACGAAGCGUGAGUGACGGUAAUGGGUAAAGAAGCACCGGCUAACUACGUG
rnacentral:rRNA from 1 species